GACUUACUGAUGAGAUUCUCCAGACGUGCAUCGUGGAAGCAGAGGACAUGAUAAAUUCACGUCCGCUUACGUACGUGUCACAAGAAUCAGAUGAAAUGGAAGCGUUGACGCCAAAUCAUUUCCUGCGGGGCUCUCGAUCCAGCCUCCGAAACGCAGCGAUUCCACCCCCGUAUCCGGCUGAGGCUCUUCGAGAUACCUACAAACGAUCACAACAGUUAGCGAGUGAGCUGUGGCAACGCUGGAUCAAAGAGUAUGUUCCGUCAUUGAAUCAACGCACAAAGUGGUUUGGCGAAACGAAACCACUGAAAGAGGGCGACUUGGUGUAUAUUGUCGAAGGCAACAACCGGAAGUGCUGGGUCCGCGGAAUAGUAGAAGAACCCAUCGUGUCUAGCGAUGGACGUAUACGGCAGGCAUGGGUGCGUACCAGAACUAAGCGAUACAAGCGUGCUGUAGUGAACUUAGCCGUGCUGGAGUUAGAAGCUGGUAACACCGAACUGGACAUAACUUCCGGACCAGGGUUACGGGUCGGGGAAUAUGUUGGGAGCACUGCAGAUCUACUACCGCACGGUAUGUGAAGUGCCACAAGGGUGGAUAUGUUUGUAAACAAACAAGGUUGACAGAGAUAGGAGAGAGGUUGAGAAUGAGAGAUAGAGUUGCCAGAAGAAGAAAAUAGAGAAAUACUAUACAAGUGAAAUGUUAUUGAUAGUAGGAAAUUUAUGAAAAGGAAGUGUUUCUAUAGAGCUGAAUUAGAUACGAAAAUAAUAGAAUUCAGGACAUUACACAUAGAAAUCUUAUACAACGAACAGGAAUUUAACAUUUCACACGGAAAAGUAUUUGGAGCCAACGUAUAAAACAAAUUGUCGAUCCACACGUAGAGAGUAUAUAGAGGAAGGAAGAAAGGAAGAGGAAUUAAGAAUUUAAAGGAACACUAAUUCUUUGAUCGGCUGAAAAAUUAAAGGUCGAUUAACAAGGAAGUUUCUUUGUUCGAUCCGAACAGGUAUCGAAUAAUUGUUGUAGAUUUAGUUAUCUAUCGAGAGUCACUGUAAGUCACUGUAGAUAUGAUAAUAAUAAAUGGAUUGUAUAGAUACCUAAAGGAUGAAUAAAAUGGCUCUGCAGUUUUUGAAAAUUACCAGUCGUGACCGGCAGCAAAUGUAAAGUGGCGGAAAAGAAAUAGCAUUAUUUCGUUUAUGCGUAACCAUCAGAAUUUAACAAAGGAAAUGUGACAUUGUUUAGCAACAUGAGUCAAGCCGUGAUCUUCAGGAUUUGCAAGGAUUACAAAUGCAGAGCCGAUAUUAACCCCAUCUCGUAUUGUGUUCCAAAGAAAAAAACGCCAAAAAAACUAGCCAAAAUAUUGAAGCUCCGUUAAAUGGUUUGGGGUUCAAUAAUGCAUACGUGUGGUAGUGUUGGCAAUAGUUAGAAAAUGCAUCAGUUUUGGCUGAGUAUAAAUGGAGUAGUGCCAAAACUGAUACCAUUGUACUUAUGAGAAUGAUGCUAAUGCUGAUGCACUUGCCAAUACUACCGCACCUAUGCUAUAUUGAUUUUACUUUCUAACAGUAGCCGUACAACUCAAUAUAACUUACUUAUUAUUUAAUGUUAUAUUUCAGAAGUGGUAUUGUCCAAGCAAAGCCUUUAAAACCAUCGACAAUCAUCGACAAGUAACCGUGUAAAUACACAGACCAUUUGAUGGCUUCAAUAUUUUGUUUAGUGUGUCGUUUUUUCUUUGGAACACACCUAUUGUGCCAAAUCACUGCCAAACAAAAUUCACAAAUUCGCAUUGUAGUAUCCAAAAGAUGGGUAUGACCUAGUAAGCGUAUUUUUUCAAUUUCUGUUAACCGACAUAGUUUAUUACGGUUACCUUGGGCUUGUUAAUACCAGCACUGCAUUUGUAAUCCUUGCAAAUCCUGGAGAUCACGGCUCAUGUUGUUAAACAAUGUCACACUUUUCUUUGUUAAAUUCUGAAGAUUACACAGAAACAAAAUAAUGUUAUUUAUUUUCCGUCACUUUAUAUUUGCUGCCGGCCACGACUGGUAAUUUUCAAACAACUGCAGAGCCAUUUUAUUCAUCGGUUAGGUAUCUAUACUCAUUUAUUAUUAUCAUAUCUAUAGUGACUUGUUGUGACUCAAAAUAAAUCUACAACAAUUAUUCGAUACCUGACCGACUGAUCAAGAGAUUUUUGGCAGAUGGCUAUUGUUUGAGAGCUGUCGUUGCUCUCUGAAUUGAAACAUAUUGCAUUUGACUACAAAAACGAACUGAAGACUGAAAACUGUACUUUAACAUCCAAGGGUCACCAUAAAUCUAUGUCUACCUGUUAUUGAUUUUUUCUAUAGCUGUACAAAAAGCAUUAUUUCGUUUAUGCGUAAUCAUCAGAAUUCAACAAUGAAAAGUGUGACAUUAUUUAGCAACAUGAGUCAUGCCGUGAUCUCCAGGAUUUGCAAGGAUUACAAAUGCAGUGCUGGUAUUAACCCUGGUAAAUCUUGAAAAAGUUUUUGUUAGGAAAACUUUUUUGCCUUAAAUAUGCGCAAGUUGCGAUGUAUGGAAGAGUUGUAGGGCACAUGUUUAUCUACAAUUUAUCUGCCAUUUCACCAAAAUCUUAGAUGUCCAUUUUGAGAAAAUCGAAUUUUAGUUUUGAAAUCGAUUUUUUCCAGUGUAGCAUUUCAAAAAAUACUUUUUUCUGAAUAUUCAAUUAUUUUUCUCAAACUCUUCCAUAGAUCACUUUUAGUAGGACAAUUUUCUAGUACAAAAAAAAUAAAAAAAUUGUAAAAAUAUUGGGCCUUUUCCAUUUGUUAGUCUAGAUAAAUUUUCGGAAAAUUAAGUAUGCCAAGUUUCAUAAUUAGGUUAUAGUUCUUCACGCCCAGAAAGUUUCAUUCGAUUCUGAGAGGGUCAUACCCGGGGCUCUGGCAACCCUAUCCCAACCAAUGCAAAUUGAGCGUAGGCAGCAUAAAACAGGGCUCGCGCUUAGGGGGCUCACGUAUUGCUUAAUGUUUGGAGUCAUAUAUGUUAAUAUUUGCUUACGUUGUAUAGUUUCCUUUGGCAAACGAUGUUUGGAUACCCAUCUGGAAGCUUUCUUGACGAUUUACAAUUAAAAUCACGUGGAGCACUUCAUUUUUAAUUUUAUCUUAUGAUUUCUAUGUUCAUGAUGUUCUAUGCUGGCUACAAAAAGGCGGCAAUUUUAGCAAUCCCUUGGUCAUGCCAAUCCCAUAGACGAGUUGGUGCGAAAUCCGUCAAAUCUUUCAGAAAUAUUAUAUUAUUAACAAAAAUCA